AAAAAGAUAAGCUAAUUAAAGCUGAAGGGUUCAUACCCCUUUUAUGGUUAAUCCUCUUUUUA
rnacentral:tRNA from 1 species